rnacentral:rRNA from 1 species
UGCUUUUUGAUUUGUUGAAUUAAAAGUUUUUUCUGCUCAGUGGUUUUAAACAGCCGCGGUACUUUGACCGUGCAAAGGUAGCAUAAUCAUUUGCCUUGUAAUUGAGGGCUGGAAUGAAUGAAUUAACAAAGGUCUUACUUUAUUUUAGGAGGGUUGCGAAUUUUCUUUCUUAGUGAAGAAGCUAAGAUAUAUAAAGGGGACAAGAAGACCCUUUUGAGCUUUAUUAUUUCUUGCUUUUUUAGUUUGGUUUUAAUUUGGUUGGGGCGACCGAGGAAUAGGAUCUUCCUUUGUUUAUAUUGAUCCAUAGUUUGUGAUUAAAAGAUUAAGUUACCAAAGGGAUAACAGCGUAAUCCUUUUUGAGAGUUCUUAUUAAAAAGAGGGAUUGCGACCUCGAUGUUGACUUAUAGUUUCCUUUUAGUGCAGCAGCUGUAAGGGUGGGUCUGUUCGACCUUUAAAACUUU